rnacentral:lncRNA from 1 species
CCGCCCCCAGCCCUAAUUCACCAGGUAUUGACUGGAGUACUCAGUAGAGCCUGGCCUCAGAGACAGGGUCUCACUGUCACCAAGGCUGGAGUACAGGGGUGCGACCUUGGCUUACCGCAGCUAUGACCUUCCCAGGCACAGGUGAUCCUCUCACCUCAGCCUCCCAAGUAGCUGGGACCACAGGCACAUGCCACCCCAUGUGGCUAAUUUUUAUAUUUUUUGUAGAGACAGAGUUGCACCAUGUUGCCCAGGCUGGUCUCAAACUCCUGGGCUCAAGUGAUCCUGAUCCACCUACCUCAGCCUCCCAAAGUGAUGGGACUACAGGCGUGAGCCACCACGCCCAGCCCAAACGUCAAUUAUCUUGGCAUGAUGACUCUUUGGAGUACUCCAGUCAAUACCGUGUGAGUUAGAAAAGCUCAAUUCACAAGGUAUUGACUGGCGUAUUCAGAAGAGUCUGGCCUCAGUAGCGGAGAAAAAACCUUCCUCGUGGAUCAACCCCUGCCCUGGUCCCACUUACUGGAGCCCAAGCACAGGAUUCAGAAGGAUCGAGUUUUUCCAAGGAAUGUAACUGUUUCCCAGGAAAAAACUAAACAAUAUUUUUAGGAACACAAAAAUAUACAUCACCAAACAAGAUGAAACGCACACUGCGUGCAUCCAUAUUACCAGGCAUGCGAGGAAGCAAGGAAACAAUUCCUGCAAUGGGAAGAAAACCACCCAGAGCUUACCGGGGAGCGACAGACAUGACAGAAUUAGUAGAAAAGGACAUUAAACCCGUUGAUCACCUUUAUUCCGCGUGUUCAAGUCGCUAGAGGAAAGAUUAAGAUGUUAAGGCAGAGACAUGGAAGAUAGCAAAAGAUCCUUGUCAAACAUCUACAGACAAAAAGUGUAAUGUCUGAGAAGAAAAAUACAUUGGAUUAGAUCAAUGGAAGAUGAGGCAUUGCCGAAGAAAAGAUUAAUGGAUUUGAACACACAGCAACAGAAACUACAUGAAGUGAAACACAGGAAAAAAAAGAUAAAGAAACGAAAAGAAAAGGGCAUCAGUGAGCUUCAGCAGAAGUUCCAUCGGCCUUACAUAUGUGUAAGCAGAGGCCCUGUAGGAGCAGAGGCAGGGGGAAAAUACUUUAAGAAAUAAUGUCUAAAAGUUUUUCAAAUAUGAGGAAAAACAUAAAACCACAGAUCCAAGAAGCUCAACAAAACAAAGCACAAGAAACAGGAAGAAAUUAAAAGUUAUAUCACAGUCAAAUUGCUGAAAACCAGCAACAAAGAGAAUAUCUUAAGAGUAUCAGAGGAAAAGAGAUUAAUGACAGGCCAAGAAACAACGAAAACAAUACAGAUUUCUUGUAGGAAACACAAGACAAAAGACAUUUUUUAAAACCAAAAGGAAAAAAAAUGCUACAUUAAAAUGUUUUUUACCCACUGAAAGUAUAUUUCAAAACAUAUUUUAGGCCAGGCUUGGUGGCUCACACCUGUAAUCCCAGCACUUUGGGAGGCCAAGGUGGGUGGAUCGCUUAAGGUCAGGAGUUCGAGACCAGCCUGGCCAAUAUAGCGAAACCCCAUCUGUACUAAAAACACAAAAAUUAGCUGGGUGUGGUGACACAUGCCUGUAAUCCCAGGUACUCAGGAGGCUAAGGCAGGAGAAUUGCUUGAACUGGGAGGCAGAGGUGGUGAGCCAAGAUUGCACCAGUGCACUCCAGCCUUGGUGACAGAGUGAAACUCCAUCUCAAAAACAAACAAACAAAAUACAUAUACAUAAAUAUAUAUGCACAUAUAUAUACAUAUAUAAAUAUAUAUACACAUAUAUAAAUCUAUAUACAUAUAUACAUAUAUACACAUAUAUAAAUCUAUAUACAUAUAUAUACAUAUAUA